AGGAGCCGUAUGAGAUGAAAAUCUCACAUACAGUUCUGGAACGGAGAUUCCUUGAAUCGAAGACGACCGUAAU
rnacentral:ncRNA from 1 species